rnacentral:rRNA from 1 species
AUGACUUUGCGGAAUCUCCUUGUUAUUACUCAAACAAGCAUGAAACGUAUGCUUGCAUAUUCGUCCAUAGGGCAAAUCAGAUAUGUAAUUAUUGGAAUAAUUGUUGGAGACUCAAAUGAUGGAUAUGCAAGCAUGAUAACUUAUAUGUUGUUCUAUAUCUCCAUGAAUCUCAGAACUUUUGCUUGCAUUGUAUUAUGUCGUCUAUGUACCGGAACUGAUAACAUUGAAGAUUAUGCAGGAUUAUACACGAAAUAUCCUUUUUUGGUUCUCUCUUUAGCCAUAUGUCUCUUAUCCCUAGGAGGCCUUCCCCCACUAGCAGGUUUCUUUGGAAAACUCUAUCUAUUCUGGUGUGGAUGGAAAGUAGGCCUAUAUUUCUUGGUUUCAAUAGGACUCCUUACGAGCAUUCUUUCUAUCUACUAUUAUCUAAAAAUAAUCAGGUUAUUAAUGACUCGACGAAACCAAGAAAUAAGCCCUUAUGUUCGAAAUUAUAGAAGAUCCCCUUUAAGAUCAAACAAUUCCAUCGAAUUGAGUAUGACUGUAUGUGUGAUAGCAUCUACUAUACCAAGAAUAUCAAUGAACCCCAUUCUUGCAAUUGCUCAGGAUACCCUCUUUUAG